rnacentral:lncRNA from 1 species
GGGGGUUGCUCGUAGCUUUUAGGAUCUGCUGUUCCGCUUGUAGUUUCAUGGUUUCUUGUUUGCUUCAAGUCGGAGUCAUGGGAAUGCUAGAAUAGGAGACCGGCCAGAUGAAUUGUCUUUGUAAUUGUCAAAGUAAUGUCCAUUUUGUAUACAAGAAAACAAGGGCUAAUCUACAUCCAAAUAAAGAGAAGAGAAGGAUCCGAGCACUAUUGCGAAAUGUGCAAUUUGAACUCCAGUUUUCCCUGUAUAUCUUUGUAGGAAACCUUUUCAUAGUUGAGACUGUGUAUGUGGCCUCAAUGGCUUCUCCCUAGGUCCCACUUAGGCAUAGUUAAAAUGCUUGAUUCCCCAACCUAAAGUCAAAUUACUUUUCCUGCCUACUUCCAACGCAUUCACGUUCAUACAUCUAUCGGAAAAGCAAUCCAGAAUUAGCAUGCCACUUGGUUUCUGGAACUUGUUCUUGUUCCAGCACUGGCAUCUAAACCAAGUCAAACGCCAGU